UUUAUGGAGAGUUUGAUCCUGGCUCAGGACGAACGCUGGCGGCGUGCCUAAUACAUGCAAGUCGAGCGGACCGACGGGAGCUUGCUCCCUUAGGUCAGCGGCGGACGGGUGAGUAACACGUGGG
rnacentral:rRNA from 1 species